GCCACGGUGGCUUAGUGGUUAGCACAUUUGCUUCAUACCCCUGGGGUUGGGGGUUCAAAUCCCCCUUCUUCCU